rnacentral:lncRNA from 1 species
AUAAAGGACUACCUAAACUUACUGGAGUUGAGGUUACUAUACGAGCUAUGAAUUCAAUAGAAAGUUCAGAACUUAGAAAUUUCAAUCUUGGUUGUGCCUCUACUGACCGGAGUACUUUCUUUUAAUUAGGGCUGUCACUCUAAGCAAAAGGAGAAAUUCAGACCCCAGAAGUAUAGUACGGUUUGUUCAGUUUUUGUGUAGAUAUAUGGUUUUGCCUUGUUUUAUUUUUACUGUAUUUCAGUUCAGUACUGAAUCAAUGUUCUAGUCAGGUCGAUCUGUUUUUCAAAUUUAUGGUUUCAUAAUUUAACAGGUGAAUUUGUUUUAUUUUGAGACUGGUCACUGCUCUUUUGCUGAUGAAAUGAGAACUGUGUAGAUCUGUGAUUAUUCUCUUCUGGCAAAUGAAGUUCUGAUUUAUUAAUGGUAUCUGAGCCUGAUAGAUCAGAAGUUGUCUUUUCAUUUCUCUCGCUCACACACAUCGUGCAUGCUCUUUUUCUUGAUGUAGUUGAUUGAGUUAUAGAAAUAUUACCAUCAUUUAUUCGGUUCGAUUUGGUAUUUUUCUUUUCUGAUUAUUUAGAAAUAUAAAAACCUACUCUAGCAAAUUAUUCAAUAUUGUUGGAUAUUUUUAUCAAAACCUAAGCUUUUUUUUUCAGAAAAAAAGUAAUAAUUGGUUUAAUAAAAUUCGAUUCGGUUGAUUUAGUCGAUUUUCAAAGAACGUUUGACACCCUAUCUUUAAACCUGAUAUAUUUUAGGUCUUCCGAAGGAAAAGAGCCAAAGGAGACCAACAAGGGUUGCGGUGGACUUCUUCAUCUUUAACCAGAUGUCUCUGAUUUGAGUCUUGAGUAUGGAUUCGCUGGACUCCUUCAUCCUAAAUCAGAUAUCUUAAUUUUG